AACGCUGGCAGGAGGCCUAACACAUGCAAGUCGAGCGGAUGAACGGGAGCUUGCUCCCUGAUUCAGCGGCGGACGGGUGAGUAAUGCCUAGGAAUCUGCCUGGUAGUGGGGGACAACGUACCGAAAGGAGCGCUAAUACCGCAUACGUCCUGAGGGAGAAAGUGGGGGAUCUCGGACCUCACGCUAUCAGAUGAGCCUAGGUCGAUUAGCUAGUUGGUGGGGUAAUGGCUCACCUAGGCGACGAUCCGUAACUGGUCUGAGAGGAUGAUCAGUCACACUGGGAACUGAGACACGGUGCAGACUCCUACGGGAGGCAGCAGUGGGGAAUAUUGGACAAUGGGCGAAAGCCUGAUCCAGCCAUGCCGCGUGUGUGAAGAAGGUCUUCGGAUUGUAAAGCACUUUAAGUUGGGAAGAAGGGCAGUAAGUUAUACCUUGCUGUUUGACGUUACCACAUUGGACAUGGAUGUCCUGUCUACCUGCCGCGUGCGUU
rnacentral:rRNA from 1 species